UUGAAUAAAAUUGGUAUAAGCUGUUGCUGGCUCUUCGGGGUAUGUGCACGCCUACACCGACUUUAUCAACCACCUGUGCACAUUAUGUAGAUCUGAUUAAAUUCUCGAGGUAAAACUCGGUUUUAAAGAUUGUUGUGCCAAAUGCCAGCUUUCUUCUACAUUUUCAGAUUUAUGAUUUCAAUACACUCUAAAUGAAACUAUCAGAAUGAUACGUUCUGGGCGUUAUGUGCCCUGUAAUAUAAUAUA
rnacentral:misc_RNA from 1 species